AUGUGCAACACCGGCGCCAGCCCUCCCCCCUCGCCGCCGCACCUUCCGCCGCCCCUCGCCUGCUUCAAGAAUUCCUCCCACCUGCUCCACCCCGUGGGUGACCACCACGACGACGACGACAGCCACCACCGCGCCCGCGCACUGGCGCUCUCCAAGGUGGCCGGCGAGGCGCGGGCGAUCGGGCGGCUGUCGGUGCCCAUGGCAGUGACGGGGCUCGUCAUGUACUCGCGCAGCUUCAUCUCCAUGCUCUUCCUCGGCCAGCUGGGGGAGCUGGCGCUCGCCGGCGGCUCACUCGCGCUCGGCUUCGCCAACAUCACGGGCUACUCCGUGCUCUCCGGGCUGGCGCUCGGCAUGGAGCCCAUCUGCGGCCAGGCCUUCGGCGCGCGCCGAGGCAAGCUGCUGGCGCUCGCGCUCCACCGGACCGUGCUGCUGCUCCUCGCGGUGGCGCUGCCCAUCUCCCUCCUGUGGAUCACCUCCACGGGCCACAUACUCAAGUUGCUCGGCCAGGACGAGGGCGUGGCCAGCGCCGCGCAGACGUUCGCGGCCUACGCGUCGGCCGACCUGGCGGUGCUGGCCGUCCUGCACCCGCUGCGGGUGUACCUCCGGUCGCAGAACCUCACGCUGCCCAUCACCGCGUGCUCCCUCUUCUCCGUGCUGCUCCACGGGCCAAUCAACUACCUCCUCGUGGUGCGCCUCCGCAUGGGCGUCGCCGGCGUCGCGCUCGCCGUUGCGCUCACCGACCUCAACCUGCUCCUGGCGCUUCUAUGCUUCCUCGCCAUCUCGGGGGCCCACAAGGACUCGUGGGUGGAUCCGACCUCCGACUGCCUCCGCGGCUGGGGGGCGAUGCUCCGUCUCGCCGUUCCCACUGCCACCGCGGUCUGCCUCGAGUGGUGGUGGUACGAGCUCAUGAUCGUGCUGUCUGGGCUUCUACCCAACCCGCGCGCCACCGUGGCCUCCAUGGGAAUCCUCAUCCAGGCCACGUCGCUCGUCUACGUGUUCCCGUCUUCGCUCGGCCAGGGCGCGUCCACGCGCGUCAGCCACCAGCUCGGCGCGGGUCGCCCGGCGGGCGCCCGCCGCGCCGCUGGCGCCGCGCUCUUCAUCGGCCUCGUCAUUGGCGCCGUAGCUUCCACCUUCAUGGUAUCCGUCCGAAACCACUGGGGCCGCAUGUUCACGUCGGACUCGGAAAUCCUGCGGCUCACCGCGGUGGCGCUCCCAAUCGCGGGGCUGUGCGAGCUCGGCAAUUUCCCGCAGACCGCCGGGUGCGGGGUGCUCCGGGGGAGCGCGCGGCCCGCCAGCGGCGCUCGCAUUAACCUGGCCUCCUUCUACCUCGUGGGCAUGCCGGUGGGGUUGGCGCUGGCCUUCGGCGCGCGCCUUGGCUUCGCUGGCCUGUGGCUGGGCCUCCUGGCGGCGCAGGCCGCCUGCGCGGUGUGGAUGGCGCGCGCCGUGGCCGCCACUGACUGGGACGUCGAGGUGGCGCGCGCCAAGGAGCUGACGAAACCCACUACCAGCUCCAACAACUCCGAAUGCAACACCAACACAUCAAGCGACAGUGCUGCCGCUAGCACCAAAGCAGCGGUAACUACUGGCAAUGCCGGUGGAAACAAGAACAAAAACGGCUACGUGCCGAUCAGCGAGAGCGGCAACGACGACGCGCUACAGAAGCUGGAGGAAGGGCUCAUGUCCAUGACCAGCUCUAGCAGCAUCGGCAGCAGCAAUGGCGACACGAAUGCGGUGGAUGGAGACAGCGAGAGCAGCAGCAGCAGCUUCAGCGGCAGCGGUGCUGUUUGUACGGCGGAGGAAGGAAAGGAGCAGUGCGUCUCGGAGAGGGCCCCGCUCAUCAGAGUGGGGGACGUGGAGGAGGAGGCGCACGAGCACGAUGGCGACGGCGAUGGCCGUGGGGGCGGCCAGGUCUAG
rnacentral:rRNA from 1 species